GAGCACAGUGAUGGGAAAGAGAGAGCAGCAGCCAUCCUGCUGAUUCUGGGCACUGGCUGGAACCAUGAGAGGGCUCCUGGUGGACGUGAGCGCUGAGGGAAAGUCUUUGAGGUGUGCCAACUUUAUCCCAACAGCCACCUAAAAUGUAUGUAUGGCACCAAAAAUUAGUGUCUAGACCAGGCUGCACAGCUACUUCAUGGAACCACGGCACUUUCUCUCCCAUCAAUGUCAUUCAAAACACUGCAGAAGUCUUGAGUACUUUCCACAAGAAGCGACUGCCACCCAUGCCAGUGCGCACUUUCAAUUUCACCUAUGUAUUUAAAAAUAAAUUCCUCUCCAAGGUAAUAAAUAAUGAAGUCUGUGUUCAGGCCUCAUUCCUCCCACUGUAUUAUUCACACUUGUAUGAACUUUACUUUUUAUUAUUUAUUUAUGGACUAGUGUAUAGAGAAACAGGAAGUUUUGUGAGACAUGGCACCUUUAAGUCAGACUUUAAUCUGAAUCCCCAGGAGCACUAAAGCACUAACUUGUUGCAAUCACGUGUGCUACUGCUGCACUACAGCUCCGAUCACUUGCAAGAAAUUUUGACUGGAGAAAAAACAUUUCUACAGGCCUCAACUUUAUCUGUCAUCUCUCAGACAAAACUCACACUUAAAAAUCCACUCUGAAAAUUGUGAAUCCAUUCUACCUUUUAAUGUUCUAUAUAUUGAACUCUUAACUGCUAACAGGAAAUUGAAAUUCUAUGUUUUUUGUAAAUGCCAAAUUAUUAUCAUGUAUGUUAAUAGUGCUCAUGUGCAUUUUUCUGCCUAUGCAGGUAGAGCACUGAACUAAACUACAUUGAAAGUGUUUUACUGUUCAGAAUGAAACAUGCAACGCAACCAGUGAAGUCAAAUUCCUGAGCGAAUGCCUCUUGAGAGCCGGUUCGUUUCAGGGGCCGUUUACAUGACGCAAAGAAAAAACUUUUCCAUUUUUAGUACAUCAUUGUCAUGUAAACGUACCCUUAGUGAAUUCUGAGGUGUUUAGUAAGCACACAACAUGACUAGUAAAGUCUGAAUCUUGAAAAAACAACAUUUGUAAGUCAGUUCUUUUUACUGAAUCACAAACAAUGCAACCACCAGAGAAGUCUAAUUCUUGAGCGGAUGACUCAUGACUGAUUCUCAUUUUGUCACAGCUUACUCCAUUAACCAGAAUUGUUAAUGUGUUAUGUUGUACUAAAAGUUUGUGAAACUUAAAUCAAUCUGAAUGGAUGUUCAUAUAACAAUGUGGAAUUAAAGGGUUAGUUCACCCAAAAAUGAAAAUUCUGUCAUUUAUUACUCACCCUCAUGUUGUUCUACACCUGUAAGACCUUCGUUCAUCUUCGGAACGCAAAUUAAGAUAUUUUUGAUAAAAUUAGAUGGCU